AUUGAACGCUGGCGGCAGGCUUAACACAUGCAAGUCGAGCGGGGAGAUGUAGCUUGCUACAUAUCCUAGCGGCGGACGGGUGAGUAAUGCUUAGGAAUCUGCCUAUUAGUGGGGGACAACAUUCCGAAAGGAAUGCUAAUACCGCAUACGCCCUACGUGGGAAAGCAGGGGAUCUUCGGACCUUGCGCUAAUAGAUGAGCCUAAGUCGGAUUAGCUAGUUGGUUGGGUAAAGGCCUACCAAGGCGACGAUCUGUAGCGGGUCUGAGAGGAUGAUCCGCCACACUGGGACCUAGACAAGGCCCAGAAUCCUAAGGGAGGCAGCAGUGGGGAAUAUUGGAGCAUGGGCGCAAGCCUGAUCCAGCCAUGCCGCGUGUGUGAAGAAGGCCUUUUGGUUGUAAAGAACUUUAAGCGAGGAGGAGGCUCCUUUAGUUAAUACCUAAAGAGAGUGGACGUUACUCGCAGAAUAAGCACCGGCUAACUCUGUG
rnacentral:rRNA from 1 species